rnacentral:rRNA from 1 species
GCAAGUCGAGCGAACAGAUAAGGAGCUUGCUCCUUUGACGUUAGCGGCGGACGGGUGAGUAACACGUGGAUAACCUACCUAUAAGACUGGGAUAACUUCGGGAAACCGGAGCUAAUACCGGAUAACAUAUUGAACCGCAUGGUUCAAUAGUGAAAGGCGGCUUUGCUGUCACUUAUAGAUGGAUCCGCGCCGUAUUAGCUAGUUGGUAAGGUAACGGCUUACCAAGGCAACGAUACGUAGCCGACCUGAGAGGGUGAUCGGCCACACUGGAACUGAGACACGGUCCAGACUCCUACGGGAGGCAGCAGUAGGGAAUCUUCCGCAAUGGGCGAAAGCCUGACGGAGCAACGCCGCGUGAGUGAUGAAGGUCUUCGGAUCGUAAAACUCUGUUAUCAGGGAAGAACAAAUGUGUAAGUAACUGUGCACAUCUUGACGGUACCUGAUCAGAAAGCCACGGCUAACUACGUGCCAGCAGCCGCGGUAAUACGUAGGUGGCAAGCGUUAUCCGGAAUUAUUGGGCGUAAAGCGCGCGUAGGCGGUUUUUUAAGUCUGAUGUGAAAGCCCACGGCUCAACCGUGGAGGGUCAUUGGAAACUGGAAAACUUGAGUGCAGAAGAGGAAAGUGGAAUUCCAUGUGUAGCGGUGAAAUGCGCAGAGAUAUGGAGGAACACCAGUGGCGAAGGCGACUUUCUGGUCUGUAACUGACGCUGAUGUGCGAAAGCGUGGGGAUCAAACAGGAUUAGAUACCCUGGUAGUCCACGCCGUAAACGAUGAGUGCUAAGUGUUAGGGGGUUUCCGCCCCUUAGUGCUGCAGCUAACGCAUUAAGCACUCCGCCUGGGGAGUACGACCGCAAGGUUGAAACUCAAAGGGAAUUGACGGGGACCCGCACAAGCGGUGGAGCAUGUGGUUUAAUUCGAAGCAACGCGAAGAACCUUACCAAAUCUUGACAUCCUUUGACCGCUCUAGAGAUAGAGUCUUCCCCUUCGGGGGACAAAGUGACAGGUGGUGCAUGGUUGUCGUCAGCUCGUGUCGUGAGAUGUUGGGUUAAGUCCCGCAACGAGCGCAACCCUUAAGCUUAGUUGCCAUCAUUAAGUUGGGCACUCUAAGUUGACUGCCGGUGACAAACCGGAGGAAGGUGGGGAUGACGUCAAAUCAUCAUGCCCCUUAUGAUUUGGGCUACACACGUGCUACAAUGGACAAUACAAAGGGCAGCUAAACCGCGAGGUCAAGCAAAUCCCAUAAAGUUGUUCUCAGUUCGGAUUGUAGUCUGCAACUCGACUACAUGAAGCUGGAAUCGCUAGUAAUCGUAGAUCAGCAUGCUACGGUGAAUACGUUCCCGGGUCUUGUACACACCGCCCGUCACACCACGAGAGUUUGUAACACCCGAAGCCGGUGGAGUAACCAUUU